AGUGAACGCUGGCGGCGUGCCUAACACAUGCAAGUCGAACGCGAAAGUCCCGCAAGGGAUAAGUAGAGUGGCAGACGGGUGAGUAAUGCAUAGGUAAUCUACCCUUGAGUGGGGGAUAACUCCGGGAAACCGGUGCUAAUCCCGCAUGACUUCCUGAUGCGCAGGCGUCAGGAUCAAAGGGGGGGAUCCUUCGGGACCUCCUGCUUGAGGAUGAGCCUAUGUCCUAUUAGCUAGUUGGUGAGGUAACGGCCCACCAAGGCAAUGAUGGGUAGCCGAGCUGAGAGGCUGAUCGGCCACACUGGAACUGAAACACGGUCCAGACUCCUACGGGAGGCAGCAGUGGGGAAUUUUGCGCAAUGGGCGAAAGCCUGACGCAGCGACGCCGCGUGAGGGAUGAAGGUCCUAGGAUUGUAAACCUCUGUCAGGAAGCAUUAAAUGCACGGGUAUCAACACCACCCGUGCUUGACUUAACUUCCAGAGGAAGCCCCGGCUAACUACGUGCCAGCAGCCGCGGUAAUACGUAGGGGGCAAGCGUUACUCGGAUUUAUUAGGCGUAAAGAGAAUUAAGGCGGUCAUGUAAGUCAGUGGUGAAAUCCCCCGGCUCAACUGGGGAAUUGCCUUUGAUACUGCGUGACUUGAGGACAGGAGAGGAAGGCGGAAUUCCCGGUGUAGCGGUGGAAUGCGUAGAUAUCGGGAGGAACACCUGAGGCGAAGGCGGCUUUCUGGACUGGUCCUGACGCUGAUAUUCGAAAGCUAGGGGAGCAAACAGGAUUAGAUACCCUGGUAGUCCUAGCUGUAAACGAUGGAUACUAGAUCUUGCAUGAUUUUGCUUGGUCGAAGCUAACGCGUUAAGUAUCCCGCCUGGGGAGUACGGUCGCAAGGCUGA
rnacentral:rRNA from 1 species